UACUGCUUCGGCAGCACAUCUACUAAAAUUGGAACAAUACAGAGACAAUGAGCAUGGCUCCCGAGCAAGGAUGGCAUGCAAAUUCAUGAAGCAUUCCUUAUUUUU